AUCCCAUGGUAUGGACACUUUCACAGCAUAUUCUUGAACCAAUUCCAGGCUUCAUCGAAAUUCUCCGAGUCGCCUUGGCAAAAAGUAGAGAUGACGUGCUUGAGCUU
rnacentral:snoRNA from 1 species